rnacentral:rRNA from 1 species
UACAGAGGGUGCGAGCGUUGUCCGGAAUUACUGGGCGUAAAGCGUGCGCAGGCGGUGAUGUAAGACAGAUGUGAAAUCCCCGGGCUCAACCUGGGAACUGCAUUUGUGACUGCACGGCUAGAGUGUGUCAGAGGGGGGUAGAAUUCCACGUGUAGCAGUGAAAUGCGUAGAGAUGUGGAGGAAUACCGAUGGCGAAGGCAGCCCCCUGGGAUAACACUGACGCUCAUGCACGAAAGCGUGGGGAGCAAACAGG